UACGUAGGGUGCGAGCGUUAAUCGGAAUUACUGGGCGUAAAGCGUGCGCAGGCGGUUUUGUAAGACAGAUGUGAAAUCCCCGGGCUUAACCUGGGACCUGCAUUUGUGACUGCAAGGCUAGAGUACGGUAGAGGGGGAUGGAAUUCCGCGUGUAGCAGUGAAAUGCGUAGAUAUGCGGAGGAACACCGAUGGCGAAGGCAAUCCCCUGGACCUGUACUGACGCUCAUGCACGAAAGCGUGGGGAGCAAACAGG
rnacentral:rRNA from 1 species